CCCAAUUAAAUACACACCCCUAAAUCUCACAAGUUUGAACCGGUAAUUCACCGUUGUGACAGCCCUCAAAUCCGGGGGUCUGGAUUUGGUGCCACGUGUAAAUAAAAAUAAUUUAAAACCUGUAUUUUUGAGCCACUAAAAGAAAAAUAAUUUAAAACUUGUAUCUUUGAGAGAAAGUAAAAACAAGUAUUUCAAAACCUGGAAAUGAAAAAAAAUGAUUUAAAUUAGAACUCAAUUUCACCCCCUUUAAAACAGGAUCGCAAACAGGCUAUAGUAUUGAAAUCAGAAUCACAACUAAUAAAUCUUAUUACAAUACAAUCUAAAUUAUCAGAGUAGCUGAUAAUAUUUAAUAAAUUUAUUUUACAUUUGAAGCGAAAUUAAGCCAACUCUAAUUACCACUAAUCUCGCAGACAUCUUCCUGAAUACUUUACCUGAUCAUUCAGUUACAACUAAUCACUUGAAAUCCUUGCCUAGCAUUACUCUUACGCGCAGCCUAGACAGAUGAAUCAUCUUUAACACUAUCUGAAAGAGUUAGAGAAGAAAUAGCAAGAAUGAGCAAAAGAAUGCUCAGCAAGUAUAAUAGUUAAAAAGAAACAGGAGUUAAUGCAGAGAAAGUAAUUGAACUGGAAGUAUACAAAACAACAUGCUUUUAACUUGAAACCAAAACAAUUCAAAAGUAUAUAUGAAUUUCUAAAGCAUUCAGAUAUAUUGGACGUUUUUAAAAGUUAUCAUAGAUGAUCAGUCCAUUGAUAACCCGGACAUUGUUUACACAAAUGUCCUAUAUUAAAAUUUGUUCCGGAACUAAAGACUAGCUAGGUCUUUAUACAUUGCUGGGCCAUCUAAAAUGGACCUCUUACGCACCCUUCAAGCUGGGCCGUUACAGGGUAACGGACCUCUUACGCAAUCAACUAAGCUGGGCCGUUAUGGGAUAACGGACCUCUUACGCAACUCCAAUAUCUGUUAUUUUUGCUUCCCAGUUCUAAAUAAUUGCAUUUUUAAGAAAAGGUUUAUUCCAUAGGAAGUAUACUUACAACGGAUAAGCCUUACAACCGAGGAACUAAACCGAGUUAUGAAAAACAUUUAUAGAGAUUUGAAACCAUGUGUAUCAAUUUGGUAAGUCCCUCUUUCCAACUCAAAAUCGUACUUAAGUCAUGCAUUUGCAACAAGUAAAAGUUUUAAGGAAAGAGCACUCAGCUUUUAAAUAUAGCAUUUGAACAGGAAUACUUGCAGUAAAUACAAGUUGAGAAUAGAAUUACUUGCAUAAGGGUUUAAAGAAAAUAUCACUUGAACAAUAAGUGAAGAUAGGGAUACUCGCCUCAGUUCUGCUGAUUUUCAUACCGAUUUAAUUCUACCAAACUAUCUCACAGCACAGCUUCGUUUUAAGGAACUAUUCCUCAUUCAAUUCGCAAAGCUAUUUAAAAACUUCUGAAUGUCCUUGAUAUGUCCUUGAUAGACAAGUCUCGGUUGAUUCUCCAAGAGUGACACGGUACUUCAGUUGUCGAUGCCGACGGAGUUAACUAAUAUCGAAUAACGUAUCAAAUCCGUAAUUAGCUACCCUUCGUAAAUCCAUAUACAUAGUACAAUUAGAUAAACACAUAGCACAUAGUUGAACAAUUAACUUUUAUAGCUAUUAAAAGUCAAUAUUGAUAAAUUAACAAAUAACAUGUUUCAAUCAACCAUGUUACCUUAUUCUUAACUAUUUAAUAUCCUUCAACAAGUAAAACAUAUAUAUAUCCUAUCGAAAAUUCGGCAGCAUCUCCUCUAUUUACCGGACUAUCCACCUGUUUUAAUUUAAUACCAACAACCAAUUAAACAAGUUCCUAACCCAAUAACUCAACAUCUGCUAACUAAUAAUAAACUGAACUCAAUUACAACUUAAUAAUUCGUAUAUCACUUUAUACUAUAAGGAAUGAAGUUUCCAAUCAUAUAUACAGAUAUACUUCAAGAUACUCAAAGUAUAUUUAUAUAUAUAACUAGGAACUUAAAUUCCUUAAUCCUCGUAUAAUCAAUACUCAAAGUAACUUUCCAGAAAACUUAUCCAUAAAAUAUUCGGGAUUCUUAAUUUACUAUAUUUCAAGCAUUACAUAAAGACACCAAAUAAUUUAUUAAAACAAUCAGAAUACUAAAUCUUUUGAAUUUAUACACAUAUAAAUCAAGUAAUUUAACAACUGUUGACCAACACCCACUCGUAUACAUUUAUACUAUAAUUAAUCACAACUCAACUCAUAGAUUUGAACUUGUGAAAGUAAUUCUCUUUGUGACCUCAAAACAGAAUUUUCACAAAUCUGUGCUACUGAUAAUCAAACAUUUUUAAUAAAUCGGAAAUACAUGAUUUUUACUUGAAAUUUUUAUGAGACCUCCCUAAACAUUAAUCCAAUCUACUAUAAAAAUUUCAGAACCAAAUUCCAUGUUUAAGGGACUAAAACAGAGCCUGCAAGUUAAGAACCUGAAUCUGUCCUGCAGAACCAGCCCCACGCUAAGAAUUUUAAUAAAUAGAAAAAUUGGUCUGUUUGUAUAAAAUUUUAAUAACAUAUUCCAGAUACUAACAUCCAACUCCAAUAAAAAUUUCAGAGGCAAAGCUCGAUUCUAAGGUAGCAAAACAGGGCGUGGAAUAGGACACACCUGCCCAGAAUUUUCUGCUCAAUUCACACUAAAACAUACAUAUCUUUUAGCUCAUUUAUUAAAUUAAUCUAAUUCUUUCGCGAGUAGAAAAUAGACUUCAAGGAGCACAUAACCAUACAAAGAUUAAGCAUAUAACUCGACCCUAUGAGCCCAGAAUUUGUAUCGCAAUAACAGACCUGCAGUAGUCUAGAAAUUCAACUUUGAUCACAUAUAGUUUUAAAACUUUAAUCCACUAUUUAAACUCUUAAAUUAUCCUUCCAAAAACAUGUAAACAAUCAUCAUACUUGUACAUAUGUUCUUACAUCAACAAGUUUGAUACCCGGUCAUAUACUCUUGUUAAUUCAAGUACCCCACAAUGUCCAAAGUUAAGACUCCAAUUAAAGCAUAUAUACACAAACAUAUAAACAAUUAUGCACUCCGAGUCAAGCCAACACUACCCAAUUUACAUAACCCAGCACAACAUAUGGGAGUUAUGCUUAUAUACAUACACAUACAUACGUAAUUGAAAGAGGUAGUGGUCUGAUUUGUACCUAAAUUCGAACGAAUAUGGAACACGAUGAACUUCUAAUUAGGAAGUGAAAUCAAUUAAGAGAGAGCCCCAGGGGAAGGAGCACGGCUUCGAGUAGAAGGAGAAACGGAGGAGAGCGGCGCUGCUGCUGAGAGAAGAGAGACGUAGGAUAAGUGAUUAUGUGGAUGAAGAGAUUGAGAGGGCGUGUAAGGAUGUAGCGGCGGAGAGGGAAGAAGUGAGGGGGGAAGAGGCGGUGAGGUCGAGAGAUUAACAGAGGGAAGGUUUUGAAAUUGGGGAAAAGGAGGUGACUGCAGGAGGUGUAUUACGUGGCUGAAGAAAAACAAAAGAGUAUUGAUCGGUGGCAAUAACCGAAGCUGCCACCUAAUAUAAGCUAACUAAUGUUUUUACCCUCUAUCCGUAUUUAACUGAUUUACGGAGAUAACUUAUUAGUAAAACUUCUCCCAAAAAUUACCGAAAUAUUUUUAUAAAUCCCAAAAUAUUAUAAAACUAAUAAAAUAAAAUACUCAUAAUUUACAGAGCAUUUUCAAAAUUUUUACAAAAUUU
rnacentral:lncRNA from 1 species